UCGGUGUUAACUGGACACCAAGUUUGCAGACCCUCCCCCAUCGCAAUCCCUAUAAAAACUCACCAGCUCCCUGUUGCACAGUAAUUGUGCUGAGAAGUGAUCAAAAAAAAAUGCUAUCUGUUCUUACUGGAAAGAUGUGUUCAACCUCCCUUAAACCCUGUAAUCUCGAGACAUGCACAAAGGAGGAGAUUUUGGAAUACUUUGAGAACACCUAUGAUUUGGAUGAAACCCUUUUCAGUGCACUCAAAGAUGAAUCCAGUUUCUACUUGUGCCCAGACCGACUGCGGUUGCCCCUUAUAUUUUACUAUUGCCAUCCUCCAGUGCUCUACAUCAAUAAAUUGUUGCUCACUGGUCUCAUAAAGGAACAAGUGGAUCCCAGUUUUGAAGCUCUGUUUGAGACGGGAGUGGAUGAGAUGUCCUGGGAUGACACGGAGAAUUAUCGAAUGGGCGGAAGUUUUAACUGGCCCAGUUUCUUGGAGUGCAUUGAGUACCGAAGGAAGGUACGGGCCAUUGUUCGCAAAGUCAUCCAGGAAACUCCACUGGAACUUCCAAUAACGGUAGACAGUCCUUGGUGGGCGGUUUUCAUGGGACUGGAACAUGAGCGAAUCCAUGUCGAAACUUCGUCUGUGCUGAUUCGUCAAUUGCCAAUUCACUUGGUUGAAAGGCCACUAGGUUGGAGAUAUGCUGCAUCAAAUAAUGGAUUAGAAGCAUUUGACAACCCUCUGAUCAAAAUCCCAACUUCCCAUGCUACUUAUGGAAAACCAAGGAAUUUCCCAUCUUAUGGCUGGGAUAAUGAAUAUGGACAGAUGACAACAGUUGUCCCAGAGUUUGAAGCCAGCAAAUACCUAAUAACAAAUGGGGAAUAUCUGAAGUUUGUGCAGGCUGGAGGAUAUGGAAAGAAAAUUUACUGGACCAAAGAAGGCUGGGAGUGGAGGACGUUCCGUCAGGCUCAUCAUCCUACAUUCUGGGUCUGUACGAAAGGAUGCAAGUCUGGCUGUGGAGCAGCCCUUGCAAGUUAUUCUCAUUGUCAACCAGAUAAAGCCGCUAAAACCACCAGCGAAGCGAACUGCACAGAAGAACCUCCGAGUGGCAAGCAGAACGGAUGGUGUUUGAAUGAUGUUGAAGAGGUCAUCUCUGUUGAGGAAAGAUUGUCAGAGUACAGGUACAGAGCUAUGUUUGAUAUCCUCCCAAUGCCCUUGGACUGGCCAGUGGAAGUCAACUAUCAUGAAGCAAAAGCAUUUUGUAUGUGGAAAGGCAGUGGAUACCGCCUCCCAACAGAAGCUGAGCAUUAUCUUAUGCGAGUCGGCAGCCAGCCUUUGGGAGAUAGCAUUACUUCUGAUCCAAUAUUUUGUGAUGAUUUAAAGAAGAAAAGUAACAUCAACAUGGCUUUCGGAUCUCCGACGCCCGUGACUAUGUAUCCACCCAAUGAGGCAGGUUUUCAUGAUGCAUUUGGCAAUGUCUGGGUUUGGACAGAAGAUCAUUUUAAUGGCCUUCCAGGGUUUGAUACCACGUACCUGUAUGAUGACUUCUCCAGCCCUUGCUUUGAUGGCAGACAUACAAUAAUUCUGGGUGGUUCUUGGAUCUCGACAGGGGACGAGGCAUCACGGUUUGCAAGGUUCGCCUUCAGGAGGCACUUUUUCCAACAUCUGGGUUUUCGCUUGGUCAGAACAUGUGGUCCAAUGAAAACCUCAGUGAGAGUGGUGAAUACUGAGACAGUUACUCCAGAUAACUCAAUCACUGUUCCCAAGGAGACUGUACAACUGAUCACCGUUUCCAGUGCCAACACUCAGCUGCAGUAUGAGACGGAUGUUGCUGUGCAGGAACAGCUUGAAGUGGAGUACGGAGACCUGAGCAAAGCAGGUUACUACAGCCAGUUGUAUGGAGUGUGCAAACAGGUGGUCAAGGAGCAGCAGCUAGCUGGGAGCACGUGCCUCAUUCUGGGCAGUGGAACUGGCCUCGUCUCCUUCAUGUUAACCCAGUUGUUUUGCAAGGUGAUUGGGAUAGACUAUAGUGGACGAUUCAUUGAAACUGCACAACAACUGAAAUGUUCAGGACACCAUACCUCUAAUGUGAAAGUUCCAGAUUAUUUGGACCGAGAUAGAGUGAUAUUCAAACAGCUAACAUGGAUUCCUAAUGAAGUUGGACAUCAUAGUUUUAUACUCCUCGAUUUCCUGGAUCGUACCCUUAAUCCCUCAGCUUGGCUAGUGCAUCUGUCACGAGUUGUACAAGCAAAAGGUUUGGUUGUCAUCGCCUCAGAAACAUGGAGCAAGAACAACCUAGAGCAAAGAUUUCAAGAACUCAGAAAACAGUUAUCCUUUGUGGAGCAAAAGGAAAUCAAAAGCAGAGGAAAACAAAACAAUAAAGUUACUUAUGUGACCAUCUGGAAACCAUGGCAUCCCAUUGUCUCAGAAUUCAAAUAUAGCAACAACAGAGAUUAGUGGAUGUAUCUUCAUAGCAACAAGAGAAAUAAAGUUGUGAUUAUUAAUAAAGAAGUGAUUCAUCUCAAUGACAUUUCUCCUGGCAGGAUAUGAAAUCUUUCUAUUGUCUCACAUUUCUGAGCUGCCCAACAACUUCAGUCAAACAGGCUUGAUCAUCCCAGCUGCUGCACUGUUCACAUGGGGAGUCUGCAGGUCGAGCGAAUGCGAGCAGCACAGCACGCCUCAGGGUAAUCCGUCAUCCUCCAUACUGAGUGCAACUCGCUGUCAAUAAAAAGAGGGGACACUUUUCUUUAAAGGAAGUUUAAAAUCAUGUUUAAAAACGGUGCAGAAUAGAUCACCAACAUUCAUGGACAAACUUAAAUGUAGUUCCAGUCAGCACAAACUCUACCAGCUUAUUUUAUUUUUAUAUCACAUAAAUAUUGCAGAAAAGCAUAAGAAGAGAAUUUAAGAGGUCUUUCAUUGAUCUUCCUGUGAUCGAUUCCAAAUGCAUUUGAUGUACAAACAUAAAAGAGCAAACCAGACUCUUGACAGAAAUUUGAUUCAGGUGAUUAUUUAAGAAAUGUUGUAACAUAUCUCUAGUUGAAACUGUAACCACCUAUUAGGCAAUCAUUCAUUUUACUGUACUAUUUAUGAAAUUAUUCAUUUUCUGAAGAAGGGUCUCGACCCAAAAUGUCAGCUUUCCUGCUCAGCCUGCUGUGUUCAACCAGCUCUAAACAGUGUUAUCUCAGAUUCUCCAGCAUUGGCAGUUCCUAUUAUCUCUCCACCCACUAGUCAACUCAUUUCAAAUCUGUUUGCUGCAUUAAAAGGUUUGUCCUCAUAUCACUGAUUCUGCCAAGCACAUGAAGUCUUUCCUUUAAUGGUUACCCUUCAGGUAUCGGAAACAACUUCCUCUUCAUUUACUUGAAUUAAAUCUUUCAUAAUGUUGAUUACCCCUAUCAAAUUUCUUCUUAACCUUCUUUGCUCCAAGGAGAACAGUCCCAGCUUCACUAGUCUAUGGAUGUGACAAUGAUUCCUUUAUCUAUGGAAUUAUUCCAAUAAAACCCAUCCAAACCCUCUCCAAAAGCGUCACAGCCUUCUUAAGCUGAGAUGCCCAGAAUUCAACUCAGUGUUCCAGCUGGAGCUGGACUAGUAUUUUAUAUAGGAUCAGUACACUUCCUACUUUCUGUACUCUACUAUUUAUGAAGCCCAGAAUUCCUUAUGCUUUAGCAACUUCUUUGUGGUCCUGUCUUGCCACUUUCAAAGAUUUGUGCAUAAACUUCCCCAGGUCCCUGCUGUUGCAAACCGUUUAAAAUUGUGCCAUUCGAGUUGGACUGCCUCACAAUAUUCUCCUCAUCAAUCUAUGUUAAAUUUGAUCUGUCAUAAGUUUAUCCAUUCGUCAGCCUUGAAGUCCAUUAUAAUCUUCCUCACUUCUACCAAUAUUUCUGAGUAAUUUGCAAUUUUGAAAUUGUAUCCAUCAACAAUCCUACCCACAGCCAAAUCCGAAUCAUUAAAAUCAAAUAGAGCAAAUUGUACUUGUACGAUUGGAGCUACAAAUGUCAAGUGUCUGGGUCUUAAUGGCCUGUUAAAAAGAUGAUAAUUGAUGCACUGAUUUUAUUUUACCAAGACUCACUUGAUUCAGAGCAUCCAAUUGGACUAGAAGAUAGGAAGUUUAUUCAAAAAGGAGGGGAGGCUGAAAGCAGGAAACAGCAGGCCAGUUAGCUUAAUAGCUGUCAUUGGGAAAAUGUUAUGAAUUCUUGUUAAAGAAGUUAUAGCAUUGCAUUUAAGUAAGUUCAAGGUAUUCAGGCAGAGUCAACAUGAUUUUUUUGUAAGAAGAAAAUUGUUGUUGAUCAAUUUAUUGGAGUUCUUUGAGGAGGUGAUGUGCUGUGUAUCAAAGGAACUGAGUAGAUGUAUAGUACUUAGAUUUCCAGAAGGCAUUUGAUAAGAUGCCACAUCUAAAGGUUAUUGCAGAAAAUAAAAGCUUGUGGUCUAAGGGUUGCAUAUUAGAAUGGAUAGAGGAUUGAUUGGCAAACAAGCAGAGUGUGCAUAAAUGAUUUUUUUUCACAUUGGGACAAUGUGAUGAGUAAUGUGUUAUAGGGAUCAGUUCCGGGGCCCCUGUUUAGAAUUUUGUAUGUCGAUGGUAGCCAUGAUGUGGAGGCACCGGUGUUGGACUGGGUUGCACAAGGUCAGAACUCUCACCAGGUUGCAGUCCUACAGGUUUAUUUGAAAUCACAAGCUUUCGGAGUGCUGUUCCUUUGUCUGCCCAUUUCUCCCAAUGUGAGUCACCUCCAUUUCCUCUUCUUCUGUAGUUUUCCUGUAGACUGGGUUAUCAAGU